ACCUGGCUGGCUCAGUCGGUAGAGCAUGCGACUCCUGAUCUCAGGGUUGUGGGUUCUAGCCCCACGUUGGGUG